UACGUAGGGGGCAAGCGUUGUCCGGAAUUAUUGGGCGUAAAGCGCGCGCAGGCGGCGCUUUAAGUUGGGGGUUCAAGGCAAUGGCUCAACCAUUGUACGCCUCCAAAACUGGAGUGCUCGAGUGCAGGAGAGGGGAGUGGAAUUCCCGGUGUAGCGGUGGAAUGCGUAGAUAUCGGGAGGAACAUCUGUGGCGAAGGCGACUCUCUGGCCUGUAACUGACGCUGAGGCGCGAAAGCGUGGGGAGCAAACAGG
rnacentral:rRNA from 1 species